GAUGAACGCUGGCGGCGUGCCUAAUACAUGCAAGUCGAGCGAACAGACGAGGAGCUUGCUCCUCUAACGUUAGCGGCGGACGGGUGAGUAACACGUGGAUAACCUACCUAUAAGACUGGGAUAACUUCGGGAAACCGGAGCUAAUACCGGAUAAUAUAUUGAACCGCAUGGUUAAUAGGUAAAAGAGGGUUUUGCUGUCACUUAUAAAGGAACCGCGCCGCAUUAGCUAGUUGGUAAGGUAACAGCUUACCAAGGCAACGAUGCGUAGCCGACCUGAGAGGGUGAUCGGCCACACUGGAACUGAGACACGGUCCAGACUCCUACGGGAGGCAGCAGUAGGGAAUCUUCCGCAAUGGGCGAAAGCCUGACGGAGCAACGCCGCGUGAGUGAUGAAGGUCUUCGGAUCGUAAAACUCUGUUAUUAGGGAAGAACAAAUGUGUAAGUAACUAUGCACGUCUUGACGGAACCUAAUCAGAAAGCCACGGCUAACUACGUG
rnacentral:rRNA from 1 species